AGUGAACGCUGGCGGUAGGCCUAACACAUGCAAGUCGAACGGCAGCACAGUAAGAGCUUGCUCUUACGGGUGGCGAGUGGCGGACGGGUGAGGAAUACAUCGGAAUCUACUUUUUCGUGGGGGAUCACGUAGGGAAACUUACGCUAAUACCGCAUACGACCUACGGGUGAAAGCAGGGGAUCUUCGGACCUUGCGCGAUUGAAUGAGCCGAUGUCGGAUUAGCUAGUUGGCGGGGUAAAGGCCCACCAAGGCGACGAUCCGUAGCUGGUCUGAGAGGAUGAUCAGCCACACUGGAACUGAGACACGGUCCAGACUCCUACGGGAGGCAGCAGUGGGGAAAAUUGGACAAUGGGCGCAAGCCUGAUCCAGCCAUACCGCGUGGGUGAAGAAGGCCUUCGGGUUGUAAAGCCCUUUUGUUGGGAAAGAAAAGCAGCAGGUUAAUACCCCGCUGUUCUGACGGUACACAAAGAAUAAGCACCGGCUAACUUCGUG
rnacentral:rRNA from 1 species